AUUUUGAUUUUCUGUGGUUUACAAAUGCCAUUAAUUCCUUUUGAAGUGCUUUAGGAAAACUGAAAAUGUUGUGCUUUCAUUCUUGGUGGAUGAUGUUGCAUCGGAAACAAAUGAAGAGAGAGCUUUAUGGAACACUUUCUUGUUUGUUAAAAACAAAAUUCACCUCGGUAUUGAGGUUGAUGAUUUCAUUGAAAUAUCGUCAGAGCUUGUGCAACUUCUUGAGGAUUUUUAUGAUGAUGUAUUUGUGAUGGUGGACACUACAGCUAUUGGAAAUUCAUUGUUCCUUUUGGGUAGUCAAUUGGGAGAUAGUUUGCUUGUGCAAUUCAGUGGUGGAUCAGGAGCAUCAGCCUUGCCAUCUGGUUUUAAGGAAGAGGUUGGAGAUAUUGAAGGUGAUGUCCCUCUGGAAUAGCGAUUGCGAAGGUCAUCUUCUGAUGCUUUGCAAGAUAUGGUUGGCGGUGAAGAGCUUUCUUUGUAUGGUUUGGCCCCAAAUAACACUGAG